GAUGAACGCUGGCGGCGUGCCUAAUACAUGCAAGUCGAGCGAACAGACGAGGAGCUUGCUCCUCUGACGUUAGCGGCGGACGGGUGAGUAACACGUGGAUAACCUACCUAUAAGACUGGGAUAACUUCGGGAAACCGGAGCUAAUACCGGAUAAUAUAUUGAACCGCAUGGUUCAAUAGUGAAAGACGGUAUUGCUGUCACUUAUAGAUGGAUCCGCGCCGCAUUAGCUAGUUGGUAAGGUAACGGCUUACCAAGGCAACGAUGCGUAGCCGACCUGAGAGGGUGAUCGGCCACACUGGAACUGAGACACGGUCCAGACUCCUACGGGAGGCAGCAGUAGGGAAUCUUCCGCAAUGGGCGAAAGCCUGACGGAGCAACGCCGCGUGAGUGAUGAAGGUCUUCGGAUCGUAAAACUCUGUUAUUAGGGAAGAACAAAUGUGUAAGUAACUAUGCACGUCUUGACGGUACCUAAUCAGAAAGCCACGGCUAACUACGUG
rnacentral:rRNA from 1 species